GGCCGAGUAGGCAAACAGGCAAAGCCGCCAGGCUGAGAGUCUGGUGAUCGAUUGUGGGUUCGAUUCCCACCUCGGCUA
rnacentral:tRNA from 1 species